AGCUAAGGUCCCAAAAUAUAUGUUAAGUGGAAAAGGAUGUGGCGUUGCCCAGACAACUAGGAUGUUGGCUUAGAAGCAGCCAUCAUUUAAAGAGUGCGUAAUAGCUCACUAGUCGAGUGACACUGCGCCGAAAAUGUACCGGGGCUAAACAUAUUACCGAAGCUGUGGAUUGUCCUUUGGACAAUGGUAGGAGAGCGUUCUAAGGGCGUCGAAGCAUGAUCGCAAGGACAUGUGGAGCGCUUAGAAGUGAGAAUGCCGGUGUGAGUAGCGAAAGACGGGUGAGAAUCCCGUCCACCGAUUGACUAAGGUUUCCAGAGGAAGGCUCGUCCGCUCUGGGUUAGUCGGGUCCUAAGCUGAGGCCGACAGGCGUAGGCGAUGGUAACAGGUUGUAUUCCUGUACCACCUAGUAUCGUUUUAAUCGAUGGGGGGACGCAGUAGGAUAGGCGAAGGUGCUGUUGGAGUGCACGUUCAAGCAGUAAGGCUGAGUGUUAGGCAAAUCCGGCACUCAUAAGGCUGAGCUGUGAUGGGGAGAGGAAAUUGUUUCCUCGAGUCGUUGAUUUCACACUGCCGAGAAAAGCCUCUAGAUAGAUAACAGGUGCCCGUACCGCAAACCGACACAGGUAGUCAAGAUGAGAAUUCUAAGGUGAGCGAGCGAACUCUCGUUAAGGAACUCGGCAAAAUGACCCCGUAACUUCGGGAGAAGGGGUGCUCUUUAGGGUUCACGCCCAGAAGAGCCGCAGUGAAUAGGCCCAAGCGACUGUUUAUCAAAAACACAGGUCUCUGCUAAACCGUAAGGUGAUGUAUAGGGGCUGACGCCUGCCCGGUGCUGGAAGGUUAAGAGGAGUGGUUAGCUUCUGCGAAGCUACGAAUCGAAGCCCCAGUAAACGGCGGCCGUAACUAUAACGGU
rnacentral:rRNA from 1 species